rnacentral:rRNA from 1 species
ACUCAAAGGAAUUGACGGGGGCCCGCACAAGCGGUGGAGCAUGUGGUUUAAUUCGAUGCAACGCGAAGAACCUUACCAGGGUUUGACAUGCCGGUGGUACGGAUCUGAAAGGUGAAGGACCCGGUUUCCGGGAGCCGGCACAGGUGGUGCAUGGCUGUCGUCAGCUCGUGUCGUGAGAUGUUGGGUUAAGUCCCGCAACGAGCGCAACCCUUGUCCCUAGUUGCUAACAGAUAAUGCUGAGAACUUUAGGGAGACUGCCAGGGACGACUUGGAGGAAGGUGGGGAUGACGUCAAGUCAUCAUGCCCUUUAUAUCCUGGGCUACACACGUGCUACAAUGGUUUGUACAAAGGGAAGCUAACCUGUGAAGGGGAGCGGAUCCCAAAAAGCAAGUCUAAGUUCGGAUCGCAGGCUGCAACCCGCCUGCGUGAAGUCGGAAUCGCUAGUAAUCGCGGGUCAGAAUACCGCGGUGAAUACGUUCCCGGGCCUUGUACACACCGCCCGU